rnacentral:rRNA from 1 species
UACGUAGGGUGCAAGCGUUAAUCGGAAUUACUGGGCGUAAAGCGUGCGCAGGCGGUUUUGUAAGUUUGUCGUGAAAUCCCCGGGCUCAACCUGGGAAUGGCGAUGAAGACUGCAAGGCUAGAAUCUGGCAGAGGGGGGUAGAAUUCCACGUGUAGCAGUGAAAUGCGUAGAGAUGUGGAGGAACACCGAUGGCGAAGGGCAGCCCCCUGGGUCAAGAUUGGACGCUC